ACCGUCUCAUCGAUUUGAAUAAUAGACGACUGCUUGACAUCAUAGGAUAUCUCUGUAUGCACUGCCCGCAGCAUCUAAACUGAUAAGGUGAGCCACGAGCGUAAAGGGCAGACAAGCCAGCACAACGAGGAGGUCUGCAAAGGCCAAAUUGACCAGGAAUAAAUUUGUGACGCAUCGGCGCAUAGUCCGACUUCCACGCAAAACCACUACGGCCACAAGGAUAUUCCCUGAAAAACAAAAGAGGAUCACUUGUCAUUCAAAGAAAAAAAAAAGUCCGGCGCAGAAGACGAGGCCGUACACUGUGCAAAGAGCUCCACUUACCCACACAUUAUAUCGAUACCAUGGCUGAAGCGGCAAUUCCGGCCAAUCGGUUCCGUUUGCUGGAUGAAUAUCCAUCAGCACCAGGUAGUCCAUCUCGGACCGUUCGCUCUGGAUGUACUGAAUUGAACCCAACAUCUCCGGUGAGACAAGGGGAUGUAAUCUUUCGAAGAAUCCACACCCCAAGAUGUGACAGAGCCCCGAAAAAGUUGAACGGAUCAUGUCAGAUUGACAAAGAACAAAGCCUUCGAAAACCAUAUCUUGGAAAUAGCCAAGAAACUUUAAUGGAGCGAGCGGAGAAAGUGGGUCGAUGUCACUAGACUGCACAACUUUCAACAAGGCCUCCUAAGGGAGGUCAACUCCGUAAAAUGUCACUUCAAGUGCCAUCGUGCCAAAGUUACUUUUCGUAUUCUGACGUCAUACAACCCUAAACAAGAAUGAUAAUGGCAACUCCAAAAGACGUUCCUCUAGCUUGCCAUUGAGAGGAUAUGCUAAUGGAAAAGCUCACAUUCAUCAUCCCUGUUAAGGUUAUUAAGCUGCGAAUUUAACCAAGUUUGGUAAUCAAGCACGCCGAACUGCACCUUAUUUGUGACUUUAGGAUAAUGCGUAAUUCAAAAACGAGCGUUUUCAGGCGGCAGAUGGAGCUGACAUUUUAACAGCUUGCCAUUACGAGGACAUGGAGGACGCGCGAGUUUGGCUAAAGAUAUUCCCCCCCCCUUCAUUUAGAUUACUCCCAAAUUACAGUAUUCUGGCCCUAGGGAUGGUGGAUCCUUCGUAUUGCUUACUGAUGAGCACUUGCGUUCAAAGUUGCAGCAGAAGACUUCCCAAUGCUGUUUUGGUUUGAAUCUUUUAGAAUUUUAUUCUUAUUUUAAUGUUAUUUACUCUUCCGAGG